GACGAACGCUGGCGGCGUGCUUAACACAUGCAAGUCGAGCGGUAAGGCCCUUCGGGGUACACGAGCGGCGAACGGGUGAGUAACACGUGGGUGACCUGCCCUCCACUUAGGGAUAAGCCUGGGAAACCGGGUCUAAUACCGGAUAGGACCUCCGCAUGCAUGUGCGGUGGUGGAAAGUUUUUCGGUGGAGGAUGGGCCCGCGGUCUAUACGCGUGUUGGUGGGGUGAUGGCCUACCAGGGCGACGACGGAUAGGCGGCCUGGGAGGGUGAUCGGCCACACUGGGACGGAGACACGGUCCCGACUCCUACGGGAGGCAGCCGUGGGGAAUCUUGCGCAAUGGGCGAAAGCCUGACGCAGCAACGCCGCGUGGGGGAUGACGGCCUUCGGGUUGUAAACCUCUUUCGCGAUCGACGAAGCUCGUACUUCUGGUACGGGUGACGGUAGGUCGAGAGGAAGCACCGGCCAACUACGUGCCAGCAGCCGCCGUAA
rnacentral:rRNA from 1 species